CAUCGCUAAUUUACGUUUGAAAGAACUAGGAUAAUUGAAAUACGCACCAGUGCAUUCAGCACAAAACUGUGCACUUGUGUAACCGCUAUUAGAAGUCAAAUCAUGACUUCGUGCCGCUUACGAUCCUGUGGCCGCUUCUACCUGGCCCUAGUGUUCGCGAUUUUGCGAAACGCGUGACGUGCCUUGACAGUACCGAUGCGGAGAAGAGUAUUAUUACCAAUCACUCAGUGCAGACGACAAUGUCUGGAAGCAGCGAUUCCGAAGAAUUUUUUGAUGCAGAGGAUGAUACUUUUCAUCAUAAUGCACGGAAAAAUAAACAACGUGAUUCUAUCAGUGUUGAAACACAAAGUAAGGAUACAUCAGAAUCAUCCAAAAAAAUGGAUGAUGAUGUUUUUGUGAAACCUGCUCAACCUAAACCAAUUGUAGAACCAAAGGAACAUAUAAUGAUAGAAUGUAUAGUUAAUAAAGAUAAAAAUGAAGAAAAUGGGAAAGAUUUAAGUACCGAUAAAAGUAUAGGUAGAAGAAGAUUUCGUGAACUCAGACAACGUAUGCAAACAGAAGAUGAUGAUAUUGCAAUUAAUAGUUCCCCUCCAGAUAGUCAAACAUCAUCAAUCGAGGGUGUUUAUCCUACUCCUUCAAAGACAACGCAUCCAUUUAGGAUUAUAGAACAUGAUACCCUUAGUUUACAAAGCAUGACAUCUUUAGGACGAGUGGGACGAAUUUUGGCUGGAGUUGGGGACAGUGCAUCUACUACACUUGCACCAAAUGUAACCCAGUGUCCCCCUUCUGCCAUCCUUACCCGUGAAAGCCAGAUGUCCUCCAUUGCUAGUAUUCCAAGCAAAGACGAGGACACAGCAUCUGGUAAGGUGUCCCAGUCCUCCAGCAUCCUUACGUUAUCAGGGGAUAUCCUUCAGGAAUCCUCUGUUAACAGUAGGUCCAAUUAUAUUUCUCACUCACAAAAUGAUAAGACUGUUAUGCUUCAAGAACCUGAUGUCAUCGCUAGUACAAAGAAUAAUGGAAAAUCAAAUGAAGAUAUUACUAUGGUUGGAAUACCUGUUGCACCACCAAGACGUAAAAAAAAGUCAAAAGUUCAAACACCUUCUGAUCUUGCACCUUCUACAACGGAAUCGGUAUUAUCAGCAUCGCCGUUACCAAGUCCUGCGAGUACUAUCGAAUCCAUUACCAGAGAAUUUGAACAUUCUCUUGAUAUUCGAUCUGCAACGAAAGGACAAUAUGUUGUUAAACCACAAGAUGAAGAUAAGUCGAAAGCCGAAGGCCCAUCAACCGAAGAACUGGAAAGGGUGGAAAAAAUGAAAGCUGAAUUAAUGAGCGUGAGGUCGAGUGACAAAUCUAGUAGUCCAUUGGGAUCCAUGUCUAAUAACAGUAUCGGUCGAUAUUCUUUAGGUCCUCAUAAAUUAUCAGGUUUAAGUCCGCAAGGUUCAAAAGAAAGACGAAAAUCGGCAGGUGAUCAAGAUAUGGUUCAACAAUUAAACAUGUUUGUAAGAACAAGAACAGAUUCUGGAAAACGUCUAACAGAUAUGGAAAUCUUGGAGCAAGUAACCGUUUUAAAUUUGGAUACAGGAGAAAGAGUACCAUUGAGUAUAGCAGAAGAUAAAUUACCGCAAUGUAUUAAUCCUUUAUCGCUUCAUAUUAUGAGACUUACUUCAGAAUAUAUAAGUAAUUCUAGUCUAGAAAAAGAAAAAGAAAGUGACGAAGAAAGUGUUGAUAGUAAAAUGUCUAGUAUACCACCGGACGAAGAUGUAUCUGUUGGUAGAGUUCGAAAAAAAACACAAAAGUUGAAACGAUUCUUAGGAUCUACUGUAAAAAAAACAAUGGACAAAGCAAAAUCUAUUGCACAAGAAGUAUCGCAUGCAAGACAUAAAGAAGAUGUUAUGGAUAUAGUAGACGAAGUAUAUCCUGGUGAACAGCAAUACAUAAAAUUAAAAGCAUCUAAUAGUCAUAAAGGACCAUAUGAAUUUAGCUGUUUACAGCAUGUUCAAGAUUUGAGUGGCGAACAUGUAGGUCCUGUUUGGUGUAUGAAAUUUUCAGUUUGCGGACGAUUACUUGCCACUGCAGGACAAGAUCGAGUUUUAAGAAUUUGGGUUUUGCGGGAUGCUUUUACGUAUUUUCAAGAUAUGCGAACUAAAUACAAUGCCGAGAAAGUUAGCCCAACUCCUUCCCAAGAAUCUUUGGUUUCACAACAAUCUAUGGAAGAUCCUAAUGUUGUGGCUAGUGCCUUUAGUGAAAUAGAAGGGACGAAAAGUCCUUUUAUGCCAAAGCCUUUUUGCACUUAUACCGGACAUACCUCGGAUUUACUUGAUGUCUCAUGGUCCAAAAAUUACUUUGUCUUAUCAUCAUCAAUGGAUAAAACUGUUCGACUUUGGCAUAUAUCACGAAAAGAAUGUUUAUGUUGUUUUCAGCAUAUCGAUUUUGUUACAGCAAUAGUAUUUCAUCCUCGCGAUGAUCGUUAUUUUCUUUCCGGAUCAUUGGAUGGUAAACUUCGAUUGUGGAAUAUUCCAGAUAAGAAGGUGGCUGUGUGGAAUGAAGUGGAUGGACAAACUAAAUUGAUUACUGCUGCAAAUUUUUGUCAAAAUGGAAAAUUCGCGGUAGUUGGUUCUUACGAUGGCCGAUGUAUAUUUUAUAACACGGAUCAAUUGAAAUAUCACACGCAAAUACAUGUUCGAUCAACAAGAGGUAAAAAUUCAACGGGAAGAAAGAUUAGCGGUAUUGAACCUAUGCCAGGUGAAGAUAAAAUUUUGGUUACUUCAAAUGAUAGUCGUAUACGAUUAUAUGAUUUACGAGAUUUAAAUCUAUCAUGCAAAUACAAAGGUUACGUUAAUGUCAGUAGUCAAAUUAAAGCAAGUUUCAGUCCAGAUGGGCAAUACAUAGUUAGCGGCUCGGAAAAUCAAUGCAUUUAUAUUUGGAAAACUCAUCAUGAUUAUUCUAAAUUUUCAAGCGUACGUAGAGAUCGAAAUGAUUUUUGGGAAGGUAUAAAAGCUCAUAAUGCCGUAGUGACAUGUGCAGUAUUUGCACCAAAUCCAGAUAGUAUUAUUAAACAAAUUGAAGAGAGAGAACAUUGGGAAAAUAAAGAGGAUGCAAAAUUAGGUAGUUCAACCGUAGAUGUUCCUCCCGUUGAUCCUGUGGUCGAGCAGCGUACUAAAGGCUGUGGUGGACAUGUCCUUGUGAGUGCAGAUUUCAAUGGCUAUAUAAAGGUUUUUCUAAAUAAAACAAAACCUAAACAUAGUUCUUUACCAGCAUCUGCUCUCGCGUAACACAACAUUAGAUUGAUUUAUGCACUAUUGUUAAAACAAAAAAGAUUAAUAAGAACACCAAUAUUACAUACAAAUAUUUGUUUUACCUCAGUGAAUUAUAUAGAACUCGCUGUAUGCUGUUUUUAAGAAAGAGCACCUUGGUGAAGAAACAAAGUAUAAAUAAAAACAAGCACGCAAGCAAUGGCCGAAUAUAGAACAAUUAACGAAUUGUAUGAAUAACCAUUAAUUUAUAUACUUGAUGAUCCAUCAUUAGGCCAUCAAUGUUGGAUAGUAUUUAGAACGUUUCAUGAAAAUCAAAUUGGAUUUUCAAAUCCUGAUGGUUUCUAAAAUGUCUUAGAACUUUACCAUGAUAAGAUAGCGUAAUACAUCGAAGACAAUAUAUUAAUUAAAAAAAAAAAAAAAAAAAAAAAAAAAAAAAAAAAAA